GGAUCGAUGAUGAGUCCUACAAAAAAAAAAAAAAAAAAAAAACAUUCCUUGGAAAAGCUGAACAAAAUGAGUGAAAACUCAUACCGUCGCUCUCAUCGGAACUGAGGUCC
rnacentral:snoRNA from 1 species